UGUCUUACGUAUGUACUUGUUAAGCCUUUAAGAGAAAAGUUUACAACUUAAGGAAUUAUAACAAAGAAGUAACACAUAAUAAGUUUACCUUAUUUAGUGUGUAUCAAUCGAGUUUCUGACCUAUCAGCUUUUGAUGUUAGGGUAUUGGCCUAACAUGGCUAUGACGGGUAACGGGGAAUUAGAGUUCGAUUCCGGAGAGGGAGCCUGAGAAAUAGCUACCACAUCUAAGGAAGGCAGCAGGCGCGUAAAUUACCCAAUUCUAAAGAAGAGAGGUAGUGACAAGAAAUAACAAUACAAGGCCAUUUCAUGGUUUUGUAAUUGGAAUGAUGGGAAUUUAAAACCUUCCCAAAAUUCAAUUGGAGGGCAAGUCUGGUGCCAGCAGCCGCGGUAAUUCCAGCUCCAAUAGCGUAUAUUAAAAUUGUUGCAGUUAAAACGCUCGUAGUUGAAUUUCAAAGAAUCAAUAUUUUAAGUAAUGCUUUUGGUUUAAGAUGCUUAGACAAUACAACGUAUCUGCUCUUUGCAUUCCUUAUCCAAAAUGUGUUCUUAUUAUAAAAAGGAUUCUUUUUAAAAUCUCCUUUACUUUUUGUACUGGAGAUUUUGUUACUUUGAGUAAAUUAGAGUGUUCAAAGCAAACAGUUAAAGCAUUUUACUGCGUUUGAAUACUACAGCAUGGAAUAACAAAAUUGAACAAGUCAAAAUUCUGUUCCUUUUUCUUAUUUUGGCU
rnacentral:rRNA from 1 species